AAAGAAUCCGCCUGCCAAUGCAGGAGACUCGUUUGAUUCCUAGGUCAGAAAGAUUCUCUGGAAUAGGAAAUGGCAACCCACUCCAGUAUUCUUGCCUGGAAAACUCCAUGGACAGAGGAGCCUGGAGGGCUGCAGUCCAUGGGGUUGCAGAGAGUCAGACAUGACUGACAACUGAGCAUGCACACGACGCAUGUAUAUAUAAUAUGUAUAUAUCUUAUGUACAAAUUGGAGAAGGAAAUGCAACCCACUCCAGUGUUCUUGCCUGGAGAAUCCCAGGGAUGGGGGAGCCUGAUGGGCUGCCGUCUAUGGGGUCGCACAGAGUCGAACACGACUGAAGUGACUUAACCUUAACCUUAUGUACAAAUACAUUUUUAGGAGCAAUAUAUGGAGCAAUAUAGAAUCACAUUAUUCUGCCCCAUCCUUCCCAAGGUGGAUUGUUUCAGAGUCGAGAGGUCAGCCAGAUGCACAGGGAUGGAGCACUGCUAGUUUUCCUAGGAAAGGACUGGCAUUAACGGCCAGGCUCAUAAGAAUGCGCGCACAUUGUUGUUUUCUAUUGCCUUCUAUUUUACUUUCCUUUCUCUCCUCAGAGUGUGAUCAGGAGGGAGCAGAGUUCCAGGAGCACAAAAAGCAGAAAAGGACAGAUGCAGCCCAGAUCUCCACACUAUAAAAGGCCUCUGCAUUGAACAAGCCUGUGGGACGUGGCCAGGAAGCCACAGGGAGAUGCAUAUGCCAAUACACAUAGAAAUAGGGCUCCUUUUUUUUUUCAUAAAGAAAACAGGCUUCAUUUUUCCCUAGUGCCACUGAAACUAAAUGCUUGAGCCUGUUUUUAUAUGCAGAAAUAUCCCCAGUGCAAAAAGAAAGUUAAUUCAAGAAGCAAAUGUCUACCUACAGGUAUCUGAAACAAACAUGGUCAGGUAAUCCAGAUUUCAAAGGAAAAAUCCCAAUUGCUAAUGUUUAGUAAUUGUAUAGCUGAUUUUAUAUUAAUAUAAAACGCUAAAUUUCUUUGAAUUUUGCCUCAAUAGAGAUGUGUUGUGUGACACUAAAUGUGAGACACAAAUCAUAUAAUGAUUUAUUAUCAGAUUUUAUGUCCUAAUUUUUGUUUUUGAAAAAUGGAGUCACCAUUCUUAAAGGAAAACAGUAUCAGCCUUCAAAUUAGUGUCCUAAAGUAGACUGACCCCAAACUGACUUUAUCAGGAACCGGAUUGGUAUAAGGCAGGGCUAUAUCUCCAGAUCACGGCAAAACUCAGUGAUGGACACGGGGGUACACCCAUCAGAGCAGUGUGAGGCUGAACCACAUAGGGACUGGUCCAGAGCUCCUUACCCUGCCUGUGCCUUCCAAGAAGGUUUGCUUCCAGAUAUGAGAUAUAAGCCAGACUUACAGGUAUAAAGAGAUAGAACCCACGGCUAUCAGAAAAAAAGGGAUGAGGGGUUAAACAGAUCACUGUGGUAAGGCCAUUUGUCCAUUAUGCUAAAGAAUAUCAGUCAUUAAAAAAAAAUUUUAGAAUUUUAUAUUUGUUCCUAAAUUUUUAAACAAGUUCUUAAACUUGUUAAAAUUAUGUGUGAGAUAAAAAUAAGUUGGUUCUCAUAAGAAAGAAUGCCAUUUUACUAUUUGUAGCAACAUGGAUGAACUUGGAGUGGAAUAAGUCAAAGACAAAUGCUGUAUGGUA
ensembl:lncRNA